CGACCCCAGGUCAGGCGGGGUUACCCGCUGAAUUUAAGCAUAUC
rnacentral:rRNA from 1 species